rnacentral:rRNA from 1 species
UACGUAGGUGGCAAGCGUUGUCCGGAUUUACUGGGCGUAAAGAGCGCGCAGGCGGUCGUUCAAGUCGCGUGUGAAAGCCCCCGGCUCAACUGGGGAGGGUCACGCGAUACUGAUCGACUCGAAGGCAGGAGAGGGUAGUGGAAUUCCCGGUGUAGUGGUGAAAUGCGCAGAUAUCGGGAGGAACACCAAUAGCGAAGGCAGCUCGCUGGGACGGUACUGACGCUAAGGCGCGAAAGCGUGGGGAGCGAACAGG